rnacentral:rRNA from 1 species
UACGUAGGGUGCAAGCGUUGUCCGGAAUUAUUGGGCGGAAAGAGCUCGUAGGCGGUUUGUUGCGUCGGCUGUGAAAUCCCGAGGCUCAACCUCGGGUCUGCAGUCGAUACGAGCAAACUAGAGUGUUGCAGGGGAGACUGGAAUUCCUGGUGUAGCGGUGAAAUGCGCAGAUAUCAGGAGGAACACCGGUGGCGAAGGCGGGUCUCUGGGCCGUAACUGACGCUGAGGAGCGAAAGCGUGGGGAGCGAACAGG